rnacentral:rRNA from 1 species
GACGAACGCUGGCGGCGUGCUUAACACAUGCAAGUCGAACGGAAAGGCCCCUUUGGGGGUACUCGAGUGGCGAAGGGGUGAGUAACACGUGAGUAACCUGCCCUUGACUUCGGGAUAACUUCAGGAAACUGGGGCCAAUACCGGAUAGGAAUCCUUGCUGCAUGGUGGGGGUUGGAAAGCUUCGGCGGUUUUGGAUGGGCUCGCGGCUUAUCGGCUUGUUGGUGGGGUAGUGGCUUACCAAGGCUGUGACGGGUAGCCGGACUGAGAGGGCGACCGGCCACAUUGGGACUGAGAGACGGCCCAGGCUCCUACGGGUGGCAGAAGUGGGGAAUAUUGCACAAUGGGCGGAAGCCUGAUGCAGCAGCGCCGCGUGCGGGAUGACGGCCUUCGGGUUGUAAACCGCUUUCAGCAGGAGCGAAGCUUGUGGUGACGGUACCUGCAGAAGAAGCACCGGCUAACUACGUG